AAACAACUCUCAGCAACGGAUAUCUUGGCUCUUGCAACGAUGAAGAACGCAGCGAAAUGCGAUACGUAGUGUGAAUUGCAGAAUUCCGCGAAUCAUCGAGUCUUUGAACSCAAGUUGCGCCCGAGGCUUGUCCGAGGGCAUUUCCGCUAGAAGCGUCACC
rnacentral:rRNA from 1 species